AACAAAGCAAUAUUUAUGAAAUUUUUAUCAUCGAAUCAAAGUGUAAAUGUUAAUGUGCAUAACACAAAUUGCAGGUAAAUCUAACUGUUCAAAUGUCUAGUAGAUAUAGCGUCCUUUUCCAACCUUGACCAACUUCAGAACUUACAACUAUCAUAAGAGACCUAUUUUGGGAGAACCUCUUUGUGAGCUUUGAAUGAGAGAAUUACAUUCCAAAUUAAAGCAAUAGCAUUAGCAGCAAGAACCUGAAAUUGCUGAGGGACAAAUCGGAAGUUCAGAAAUUGAAAAGGUAUCCACAGUUGCCAAUUUGCAAGAACAGCAGAAAACCACUCCUGUUGAAGCUUGGGUACAACUUGUUGAGGCCGGCCUUCUAGUGUCACCAAUGUAGACAAGAAAACUCCAAUGAAUAUUGGAGAAAAAAGGAACUGAUCAAGUAGAAGACGCAAGAAUGCACCUGAUGCUCCAGGCAAUGUUACCAAUUUACUCAGAUACAAAUACCAGAAAUGCAAUGUGGGACCCACUAGUACCAAUCCCAAGAAAGUAAACAGAAGCGUCCUUUUUACUUCAAGAGAAGGAACUUG
rnacentral:misc_RNA from 1 species